CCCCGUCUUCCCUGACGGGUAGCCUACCGGAACCGGCGUGGCUGUCAACGGCCGGGUCGGAAGCUUCCGGAACAACGUACCCUCCCGAAAAUGGGCUUUUCAGUCCGUGAGGAUCGAACAGGACCUGCCAGCAUCAGGCGGAUCGGGGG
rfam:Leptospirillum ferrooxidans C2-3 DNA, complete genome.